rnacentral:rRNA from 1 species
GAUCAUGGCUCAGGAUGAACGCUAGCUACAGGCUUAACACAUGCAAGUCGAGGGGCAGCAUGGUCUUAGCUUGCUAAGGCCGAUGGCGACCGGCGCACGGGUGAGUAACGCGUAUCCAACCUGCCUUACACUCUUGGACAGCCUUCUGAAAGGGAGAUUAAUACAAGAUGUUAUCAUGAAGUAAGCUAUUUUCGCAUGAAUUAAAGGUUUACCGGUGUAAGAUGGGGAUGCGUU